UACGGAGGGGGCAAGCGUUGUUCGGAAUUACUGGGCGUAAAGGGCGCGUAGGCGGCCCGUCGCGUCAGAUGUGAAAUCCCCGGGCUCAACCUGGGAACUGCAUUUGAUACGGGCGGGCUGGAAUCCGGGAGAGGAUGGUGGAAUUCCCAGUGUAGAGGUGAAAUUCGUAGAUAUUGGGAAGAACACCGAUGGCGAAGGCAGCCAUCUGGACCGGCAUUGACGCUGAGGCGCGAAAGCGUGGGGAGCAAAC
rnacentral:rRNA from 1 species